AGAAUCAACGCUGGCGGCGUGCCUAACACAUGCAAGUCGAACGAGAAAGUGGAGCAAUCCAUGAGUAAAGUGGCGCACGGGUGAGUAACACGUGACUAACCUACCCUUGAGUGGGGAAUAACUUCGGGAAACCGAGGCUAAUACCGCAUAACACCUACGGGUCAAAGGAGCAAUUCGCUUAAGGAGGGGGUCGCGGCAGAUUAGUUAGUUGGCAGGGUAAUGGCCUACAAGACGGUGAUCUGUA
rnacentral:rRNA from 1 species